ACACUCAAGCCCCAUGAUCGUAGAUCAGAAUGGUGUGCGUCCAUUCGAUGGUCCCAGGAGCUGUGCUAGGAAUCUGGUGUAAGGAGGCAAGCUCUGAUCUGUUGCAGGGGACGUUCCGUGGAAGACUUACUGGUAGCCAGAGAUGCGGAGCAUCGGUGUGAUACAUUAGUAGCCUGAGUCCUGAAGCUGGAGCGUCCCACACCUGAAAAGAGACUUUGAUUAAAAACUGGAAAAGGAACUAGAGUGAAGCAGCUAAAAUACUGCUGGCAGCAAGCCUUUACCCCUGGAAGGGGACAGGAUGAGAGUGAGCAACUGAGUGAAGUUGUAGUAACCUGUGUGGAGGCAUGGGAUCUUGUCAGCAGCAGCUAGAGAGCUAAUGAUUGAUUUCCCUGAGAAGCAGAGGCAACUUGCCCAACAAAAAAAGGGGGAGAGUCCUCUGGCAGCCUUGGGAAGAUGUAGAUUCAGCGAACUGUCACUUGAACUUAAAAGGGGGAAAAUGAGGAUAAACAAAUUGUUUAGGUGAACUAGGUUGAUACUAGUUCAUUAAUUGUAAAAGACAAUGAAGUAUUGAGAGUGACAGACAGACUAGGAUUCCUUUGCAUGUGACCACAUUGAGCACCUUCCUUAAAAAAUCAUGAGGAAAUAGUGACUUGGCUAUA